rnacentral:rRNA from 1 species
GGUUAAGCGACUAAGCGUACACGGUGGAUGCCCUGGCAGUCAGAGGCGAUGAAGGACGUGCUAAUCUGCGAAAAGCGUCGGUAAGGUGAUAUGAACCGUUACAGCCGGCGAUGUCCGAAUGGGGAAACCCAGUGCAAUUCGUUGCACUAUCGUUUGAUGAAUACAUAGUCAAACGAGGCGAACCGGGGGAACUGAAACAUCUAAGUACCCCGAGGAAAAGAAAUCAACCGAGAUUCCCCCAGUAGCGGCGAGCGAACGGGGAGCAGCCCGGAGUCUGAAUCAGCUUGUGUGUUAGUGGAAGCGUCUGGAAAGUCGCAGGGUACAGGGUGAUACUCCCGUACACUAAAACGCACAGGUUGUGAACUCGAAGAGUAGGGCGGGACACGUGGUAUCCUGUCUGAAUAUGGGGGGACCAUCCUCCAAGGCUAAAUACUCCUGACUGACCGAUAGUGAACCAGUACCGUGAGGGAAAGGCGAAAAGAACCCCGGCGAGGGGAGUGAAAAAGAACCUGAAACCGUGUACGUACAAGCAGUAGGAGCCCACUUGUUGGGUGACUGCGUACCUUUUGUAUAAUGGGUCAGCGACUUAUAUUCUGUAGCAAGGUUAACCGUAUAGGGGAGCCGCAGGGAAACCGAGUCUUAACUGGGCGUUAAGUUGCAGGGUAUAGACCCGAAACCCGGUGAUCUAGCCAUGGGCAGGUUGAAGGUUGGGUAACACUAACUGGAGGACCGAACCGACUAAUGUUGAAAAAUUAGCGGAUGACUUGUGGCUGGGGGUGAAAGGCCAAUCAAACCGGGAGAUAGCUGGUUCUCCCCGAAAGCUAUUUAGGUAGCGCCUCGUGAAUUCAUCUUCGGGGGUAGAGCACUGUUUCGGCUAGGGGGUCAUCCCGACUUACCAACCCGAUGCAAACUACGAAUACCGAAGAAUGUUAUCACGGGAGACACACGGCGGGUGCUAACGUCCGUCGUGAAGAGGGAAACAACCCAGACCGCCAGCUAAGGUCCCAAAGUCAUGGUUAAGUGGGAAACGAUGUGGGAAGGCCCAGACAGCCAGGAUGUUGGCUUAGAAGCAGCCAUCAUUUAAAGAAAGCGUAAUAGCUCACUGGUCGAGUCGGCCUGCGCGGAAGAUGUAACGGGGCUAAACCAUGCACCGAAGCUGCGGCAGCGACACUAUGUGUUGUUGGGUAGGGGAGCGUUCUGUAAGCCGUUGAAGGUGGCCUGUGAGGGUUGCUGGAGGUAUCAGAAGUGCGAAUGCUGACAUAAGUAACGAUAAUGCGGGUGAAAAACCCGCACGCCGGAAGACCAAGGGUUCCUGUCCAACGUUAAUCGGGGCAGGGUGAGUCGACCCCUAAGGCGAGGCCGAAAGGCGUAGUCGAUGGGAAACAGGUUAAUAUUCCUGUACUUGGUGUUACUGCGAAGGGGGGACGGAGAAGGCUAUGUUGGCCGGGCGACGGUUGUCCCGGUUUAAGCGUGUAGGUGUGUGUUCCAGGUAAAUCCGGUUCACUUUAACACUGAGGCGUGAUGACGAGGCACUACGGUGCUGAAGUGACAAAUGCCCUGCUUCCAGGAAAAGCCUCUAAGCAUCAGGUAACAUCAAAUCGUACCCCAAACCGACACAGGUGGUCAGGUAGAGAAUACCAAGGCGCUUGAGAGAACUCGGGUGAAGGAACUAGGCAAAAUGGUGCCGUAACUUCGGGAGAAGGCACGCUGAUACGUAGGUGAAGUGGUUUACCCAUGGAGCUGAAAUCAGUCGAAGAUACCAGCUGGCUGCAACUGUUUAUUAAAAACACAGCACUGUGCAAACACGAAAGUGGACGUAUACGGUGUGACGCCUGCCCGGUGCCGGAAGGUUAAUUGAUGGGGUUAUCCGUAAGGAGAAGCUCUUGAUCGAAGCCCCGGUAAACGGCGGCCGUAACUAUAACGGUCCUAAGGUAGCGAAAUUCCUUGUCGGGUAAGUUCCGACCUGCACGAAUGGCGUAAUGAUGGCCAGGCUGUCUCCACCCGAGACUCAGUGAAAUUGAACUCGCUGUGAAGAUGCAGUGUACCCGCGGCAAGACGGAAAGACCCCGUGAACCUUUACUAUAGCUUGACACUGAACACUGGUCCUUGAUGUGUAGGAUAGGUGGGAGGCUUUGAAGUGUGGACGCCAGUCUGCAUGGAGCCAUCCUUGAAAUACCACCCUUUAAUGGCUGGUGUUCUAACGUGGGCCCGUAAUCCGGGUUGCGGACAGUGUCUGGUGGGUAGUUUGACUGGGGCGGUCUCCUCCUAAAGAGUAACGGAGGAGCACGAAGGUCAGCUAAUCCUGGUCGGACAUCAGGAGGUUAGUGCAAUGGCAUAAGCUGGCUUGACUGCGAGCGUGACGGCGCGAGCAGGUGCGAAAGCAGGUCAUAGUGAUCCGGUGGUUCUGAAUGGAAGGGCCAUCGCUCAACGGAUAAAAGGUACUCCGGGGAUAACAGGCUGAUACCGCCCAAGAGUUCAUAUCGACGGCGGUGUUUGGCACCUCGAUGUCGGCUCAUCACAUCCUGGGGCUGAAGUAGGUCCCAAGGGUAUGGCUGUUCGCCAUUUAAAGUGGUACGCGAGCUGGGUUUAGAACGUCGUGAGACAGUUCGGUCCCUAUCUGCCGUGGGCGCUGGAGAAUUGAGGGGGGCUGCUCCUAGUACGAGAGGACCGGAGUGGACGCAUCACUGGUGUUCGGGUUGUCAUGCCAAUGGCAUUGCCCGGUAGCUAAAUGCGGAAGAGAUAAGUGCUGAAAGCAUCUAAGUACGAAACUUGCCCCGAGAUGAGUUCUCCCUGACUCCUUGAGAGUCCUGAAGGAACGUUGAAGACGACGACGUUGAUAGGCCGGGUGUGUAAGCGCAGCGAUGCGUUGAGCUAACCGGUACUAAUGAACCGUGAGGCUUAACCUU